GACGAACGCUGGCGGCGUGCUUAACACAUGCAAGUCGAACGGUAAGGCCCUUCGGGUACGACGAGUGGCGAACGGGUGAGUAACACGUGGUGAUCUGCCCUGCACUUCGGGAUAAGCCUGGGAAACUGGGUCUAAUACCGGAUAGGACCAUGGACUUCACGGUUUGUGGUGGAAAGCUUUUGCGGUGUGGGAUGGGCCCGCGGCCUAUCAGCUUGUUGGUGGGGUAAUGGCCUACCAAGGCGACGACGGGUAGCCGGCCUGAGAGGGUGUCCGGCCACACUGGGACUGAGAUACGGCCCAGACUCCUACGGGAGGCAGCAAUGGGGAAUAUUGCACAAUGGGCGCAAAGCCUGAUGCAGCGACGCCGCGUGAGGGAUGA
rnacentral:rRNA from 1 species